UGGGGAAUUUUGGACAAUGGGGGCAACCCUGAUCCAGCCAUGCCGCGUGCGGGAAGAAGGCCUUCGGGUUGUAAACCGCUUUUGUCCGGGAAGAAAAGAUCUCUCCUAAUACGGGAGGUUCUUGACGGUACUGGAAGAAUAAGCACCGGCUAACUACGUGCCAGCAGCCGCGGUAAUACGUAGGGUGCGAGCGUUAAUCGGAAUUACUGGGCGUAAAGCGUGCGCAGGCGGUUCGCUAAGUCUGAUGUGAAAGCCCCGGGCUUAACUGGGAGGGGCCAUUCCAUACUGCGAGGCUUGAGGGCAGAAGAGGGAAGCGGAAUUCCCGGUGUAGUGGUGAAAUGCGUAGAUAUCGGGAGGAACACCAGUGGCGAAGGCGGCUUCCUGGCCUGCUCCUGACGCUAAGAGGCGAAAGCUAGGGGAGCGAACGGGAUUAGAAACCCCGGUAGUCCUAGCUAUAAACGAUGGAUACUGGGUGUCGGUGGUCCUAACCCCAUCGGUGCCGAAGCUAACGCGUUAAGUAUCCCGCCUGGGGACUACGGCCGCAAGGUUA
rnacentral:rRNA from 1 species